UACGAAGGGGGCAAGCGUUACUCGGAAUUACUGGGCGUAAAGCGUGCGUAGGUGGUUCGUUAAGUCUGAUGUGAAAGCCCUGGGCUCAACCUGGGAAUGGCAUUGGAAACUGGCGACCUAGAGUGCGGUAGAGGGUAGUGGAAUUCCCGGUGUAGCAGUGAAAUGCGUAGAGAUCGGGAGGAACAUCUGUGGCGAAGGCGACUACCUGGACCAGCACUGACACUGAGGCACGAAAGCGUGGGAGCAAACAGG
rnacentral:rRNA from 1 species